rfam:Hordeum vulgare subsp. vulgare, WGS project CAJW01000000 data, contig: morex_contig_1558671
AUGGUACUCCUUUCGUUCAGAAAUACUUGUCCUAAAAAUAAAUACAAUAGAUGUAUCUAUAACUAAGGUAAGUCUAUAUACAUUAAUUUUUAGGAUAAGUAUUUCCAAACGGAGGAAGUACUAU